ensembl:lncRNA
UCUUGCUGGACAUCCCUGUCUAUCUGAGGCCUGCUAAAGGUCCUGUUUCUGUCACCAGACAGAGUAUGUUCUUCCAAACAUGCUGCAGAUGUAGUACCUGACUGCCAACUGUUCAUCCUGGCCAACAUACUGAUAUCUACCAAUUGGCGCAUAUGUUAUGUUCUGCUGGAGCCUGGACGAGUCUCUCGCACCCUGAAGGUGACCAGGCAAAUCCUGAUGCUCUAAUUUUUUUAUAUAAAUCUUGAGCAAACACAGGAACUGCUGCAGUUCUGCUCUGCAACUGUUUGGAGGAAGAGGGGAUCUGUCCGAACAUCUGGAGGCAGUUCUUUAAAUUUGUUUUGCCAUUGCUUCCACAGCUCUUACUCUUCUUGACAUCUACAGUACAGCUUGUCUUCUCUUGCCAAGCCUUCCUCUGGAAAAUGAGCUAAUAGCAUAGUAUUGCUUUAUUUCCUUGGCCCCAUGGGAGUAGCACAGUAUUUGAGCCUCCUUUAGAGGAGUCCUGUUAAAUGUUUGUGAUCUGUGUUAUCUACUACCAGCUUGUUCCUCAGCAGGCCCAUCACAGAUCCUUCUGUUGAUGCUUCUUCAAUUGCAGUGUCUCAAGCUGAUGAUUGGUCCCUGUAAGGGGAAAAGCACACCCCGGUGUGUGCAACUCAUUUCUGGUGCUGUGUGUCAAAGCUGCCUGCAAUCCCAGCUGAUAGAGUUUUGCUCUAUCAAGGCUCGCUCUUCUACAGCUAACCAGGAGCCCAGUGCUGCUCAGCCUUGUCAUUGCUGCUCUGAGCAGCACUCCCUGCCUCUGUACAUUCUCUGGAGCCCAGGAAGCUCAGGUGCAGCGAAGGGUAGCUCAGACCACUUGUCUGGAAAUAUUGCACACUAAUGCUGGAAAGAGGAAUCUCAAUUAGUUGGUGAUACAAGCAGAUAACUAAUACAAAUACUAGGGAGGAGUAGUGGAAGGAAAAAUGCUGAGACCAGCAAAGCAGAGUGACACAGGACUCAGUGGGGGAGCAGCUGCUUGCACUUCAUGGACUCCAGAGUGCAUAACGUAAAGGGAAGGGAAGAAUAUCAUGCUAGGAUCUGAUGAAUGACAACUGCAUCACUGGUUCCUCUCUUGCACUCAGGAUUGCUGCAAGCACUGUCUAGACAAAGGCUCUUGGCAAAUCAUUGCUCAGCACCCUCAACAGAGAUCAGCUCCUUCUGCAGUGCAGAGGCAAAGAGCCCUGUCCUAGGGCUGUGAAAUGGAGAAAAGGAAGGAGAGAUUUGUUAUAUUGGCAUCUAUAGAGCCCUUUCAGCAACUUCCAAACAUGCCUGAAGGCAGGAAUUGCACGAGGAAUCAGUAUACUCUAAAGUAACACUUUCCUGUGUUAACUGCAAAUGACGAGACACUUCUAACAACCUCAAACAACUUUUGUAAUUUGGAAUUUUCAAGCUAGUUCUAUUUCUUAGCCUGAAGAAGCUCAUGCAUCACCAGUUACUAAUGUACACAAUAUACAGCUCUUUGCUCUCUUUGUUGGCACUGGGUGUCAAGAUCUCUCUUCUGCAAGGACAUAAGAAGUUUUGAUUAGUAGAGUUACUCAUCUGAUAAAAGGAGGAGGAGAACUCUUCCUCUCCAUAGCCCAUCAAAGUUAGGAUUGCCAAACGUGACAGUUUGCUUUUCUGCCUGUCAGACAGUUCCUGCGAAGCCUGUGCAUGUAAGUACAGCUGUUUCUAACACAAAAAGCUGCCUGAGUAUGUAGAAAUGUUCCCUUCCCAGAGCUGGGAUUGUUUGCUUGACAAAAGUCACCAAAGAGGGCCAAGAAACUCCAACGCCUGUCUUACUCAUGGGAUCCUUAACUCUUCAGAAGAUUGCUGAGAAAAUGGACUGAGAUAAUCAUGUACUGCAAUGGGAGUACUGUGUCUAGAAUGACAGUCUCAGUCUGGUCUGUCUCUGGCUGACUGCCCUGCCUUAACGAUUUAGUGGGGUCCACUUUGUUUCCGUCAAUGCUGUCUCUGCUUCUUAUGCUGACUUUCAGGGCCAAUAUGGAGCAGGUAGCUGCAUUUGUUAGCUGGAAGCUUGUUACUGGAUUUUUAGAAUGUCUCUCUGAACAAGAAAAUUUCCAGAAGAAAGCACCAACAUUUGAGAAGUGCUGAAUAAAAAC